GAGUAACACGUGGGUAACCUGCCCAUAAGACUGGGAUAACUCCGGGAAACCGGGGCUAAUACCGGAUAACAUUUUGAACCGCAUGGUUCGAAAUUGAAAGGCGGCUUCGGCUGUCACUUAUGGAUGGACCCGCGUCGCAUUAGCUAGUUGGUGAGGUAACGGCUCACCAAGGCAACGAUGCGUAGCCGACCUGAGAGGGUGAUCGGCCACACUGGGACUGAGACACGGCCCAGACUCCUACGGGAGGCAGCAGUAGGGAAUCUUCCGCAAUGGACGAAAGUCUGACGGAGCAACGCCGCGUGAGUGAUGAAGGCUUUCGGGUCGUAAAACUCUGUUGUUAGGGAAGAACAAGUGCUAGUUGAAUAAGCUGGCACCUUGACGGUACCUAACCAGAAAGCCGCGGGUAACUACGUGCCACAGCCGCGGUAAUACGUAGGUGGCAAGCGUUAUCCGGGAAUUAUUGGG
rnacentral:rRNA from 1 species